CAGCAGCCGCGGGAAUACGAAGGGUGCAAGCGUUACUCGGAAUUACUGGGCGUAAAGCGUGCGUAGGUGGUUGUUUAAGUCUGCUGUGAAAGCCCUGGGCUCAACCUGGGAAUUGCAGUGGAUACUGGGCAACUAGAGUAAGGUAGAGGAUAGUGGAAUUUCCGGUGUAGCAGUGAAAUGCGUAGAGAUCGGAAGGAACAUCUGUGGCGAAGGCGACUAUCUGGGGCAUUACUGACACUGAGGCACGAAAGCGUGGGGAGCAAACAGGAUUAGAUACCCCCGUAGUCCCUGUCUCUUAUAC
rnacentral:rRNA from 1 species